rnacentral:rRNA from 1 species
GGAUAACGUUUGGAAACGAACGCUAAUACCGCAUGAUAUUAUUGAGCUGCAUGGCUUGAUAAUCAAAGGAGCAAUCCGCUGAAAGAUGGGCUCGCGUCCGAUUAGGUAGUUGGCGGGGCAACGGCCCACCAAGCCGACGAUCGGUAGCCGGACUGAGAGGUUGAACGGCCACAUUGGGACUGAGACACGGCCCAGACUCCUACGGGAGGCAGCAGUGAGGGAUAUUGGUCAAUGGGGGAAACCCUGAACCAGCAACGCCGCGUGAGGGAAGACGGUUUUCGGAUUGUAAACCUCUGUCCUCUGUGAAGAUAAUGACGGUAGCAGAGGAGGAAGCUCCGGCUAACUACGUGCCAGCAGCCGCGGUAAUACGUAGGGAGCAAGCGUUGUCCGGAUUUACUGGGUGUAAAGGGUGCGUAGGCGGCUUUGCAAGUCAGAAGUGAAGUCCAUGGGCUUAACCCAUGAACUGCUUUUGAAACUGCAGAGCUUGAGUGGAGUAGAGGUAGGCGGAAUUCCCGGUGUAGCGGUGAAAUGCGUAGAGAUCGGGAGGAACACCAGUGGCGAAGGCGGCCUGCUGGGCUCUAACUGACGCUGAGGCACGAAAGCGUGGGUAGCAAACAGGAUUAGAUACCCUGGUAGUCCACGCUGUAAACGAUGAUUACUAGGUGUGGGUGGACUGACCCCAUCCGUGCCGGAG